AUUGAACGCUGGCGGCAUGCCUUACACAUGCAAGUCGAACGGCAGCACGGGGGCAACCCUGGUGGCGAGUGGCGAACGGGUGAGUAAUGUAUCGGAACGUGCCCUGGAGUGGGGGAUAACUAGUCGAAAGAUUAGCUAAUACCGCAUACGAUCUACGGAUGAAAGUGGGGGAUCGCAAGACCUCAUGCUCGUGGAGCGGCCGAUACCUGAUUAGCUAGUUGGAGGGUAAAAGCCUACCAAGGCGACGAUCAGUAGCUGGUCUGAGAGGACGACCAGCCACACUGGGACUGAGACACGGCCCAGACUCCUACGGGAGGCAGCAGUGGGGAAUUUUGGACAAUGGGGGCAACCCUGAUCCAGCAAUGCCGCGUGAGUGAAGAAGGCC
rnacentral:rRNA from 1 species